rnacentral:rRNA from 1 species
UACGUAGGGUGCAAGCGUUAAUCGGAAUUACUGGGCGUAAAGCGUGCGCAGGCGGUUUUGUAAGUCUGACGUGAAAGCCCCGGGCUCAACCUGGGAAUUGCGUUGGAGACUGCAAGGCUAGAGUACGGCAGAGGGGGGUGGAAUUCCACGUGUAGCAGUGAAAUGCGUAGAGAUGUGGAGGAACACCAAUGGCGAAGGCAGCCCCCUGGGUCGAUACUGACGCUCAUGCACGAAAGCGUGGGGAGCAAACAGGAUUAGAAACCCCGGUAGU